GGGGUUGUAGUUAAUCAUAACAUUUGAUUUGCAUUCAAAAGGUACUAUUUAUUAGUCUACCUUA
rnacentral:tRNA from 1 species